GAUGGGUUCAAGCGUCAGCUCCUCCCAGUUUUCCCGGGAAAUCUUCGGGGUUUUCUCGGGAAAUCUUCGGGGUUUUCCCGCUUUGUACUUCCCGCACCUUAUAUGUUUAUCCAUCUAGAUAAUAUUUCCUGACUGGCUGCUAUCAUCUCCUUAAGAUGUCCAUCCAUGUGCAAUGCAGAGAGCGCGCAGUCGGUGCUCAAUGCAGAUUUAUCCAAUGAAUGAGUACAUUUCCUUUUUCAUCCUCCUGGCAGCGGUGAUGGUGGCUCAUCAGCAUAUUAUGGCUUCUGGCUGUACUUGUUUUUAUUAUGUUCUCUAACAAGAGAUCACGGAGAAGGCAAGGCACCCCACUCCAGUUCUCUUGCCUGGAAAAUCCCACGGACGGAGGAGCCUGGUAGGCUCCAGUCCAUGGGGUCGCUAAGAGUCGAGCAUGACUGAGAGACUUCACUUUCACUUUUCACCUUCCUGCAUUGGAGAAGGAAAUGGCAACCCGCCUCCAGUGUUCUUGCCUGGGGAAUCCCAGGGACCGAGGAGCCUAGUGGGCUGCCGUCUAUGGGGUCCCACAGAGUCGGACACGACUGAAGCGACUUAGCAGCAGCAGCGGCAGCAGCAACAAGAGAUCAAACUCUUUUGAAGGAAAGGAAGAAAAAAGAAACCUUCUUCAGAAUUCCAUGGAUGGAGGAUCUGGAGGGCUAUGGUCCAUGGGAUCGCAAAGAGUCGGACACGACUGAGCAACUAACACUAAACCUUCUUCAACAUGGGAAGAGUGGGAAACUGGGCCUCUGUAAACUUGAACUCCGGGAGUUGGCGAUGGACAGGGAGGCCUGGCGUGCUGCAGUCCAUGGGGUUACAGAGAGUCGGACAUGACUGAAAGACUGAACUGAACUGAACUGAACUGGCACAAACUGGCACAACUAUCCCCCAAUUAAAAAUAACAUUAUUUCCAAUUAAAAAUGUAAAUAAAAAAUAAAAAAACAAAACAGAAGCU
rnacentral:lncRNA from 1 species